rnacentral:lncRNA from 1 species
AAACUAGCCGUUACUCACCUUGGGAAGGACAAAAAGUACAGUUGCAGAACUAGCCGUUACUGUUCAGCCCGUGUUUGGGUCGGCUCAACCUGUCCUUGGGUCGACCCAAUUUUGCCUUGGGUCGACUCAAACAUUCCUUGGGUCGACCCUCUCAGAAACCACAGAAACUUCAAUUUCAGCCUUCCUUCCCAUGGGUCGACCCAACCAUUCUUUGGGUCGACUCAAAGUCCACUUGGGUCGACUCAACUUCUUCUUGGGUCGACCCUCUCAGUAAUUCCAGAGAACCAUUUUCUGUCUGUCUUUCUGUCUUGCCUUUGGGUCGAUCCUCUCAGGGUUUGGGCCGACUCAAGCUUGGGUCGACUCAACCACUGUUUGGGUCGACCCUCUCAGUAAAUCCAGAGAGCAUUCUUCAGUUGUGUUUUUGAGGUUCUUCAAGGUUGGGUCGACUCAUGCUUACCUUGGGUCGACCCAACUCACUGUUCAUUUGUGCCAUUUUUGCAGGAGUGUGCCAAAUGAUUUCUUGAUGUGCCGGGGUUGACCCAAUCAACCUUUGGGUCGACUCAAUCCACAUUUUGCUGCAUUCUCAAGGUUAGAUUCAUUCAAAUGAAC